rnacentral:tRNA from 1 species
UCCCCAGUGGCUCAGUGGUAAAGAAUCUGCCUGCAAUGCAGGACACAUGGGUUUGAUCUCUCAUUUGGGGAA